rnacentral:rRNA from 1 species
CUACGGGUUGCUGCAGUGAGGAAUAUUGCACAAUGGGGGGAACCCUGAUGCAGCAACGCCGCGUGGAGGAUGACGCAUUUCGGUGUGUAAACUCCUUUUAUAUGUCAAGAAAAUGACGGUAGCAUAUGAAUAAGCACCGGCUAACUCCGUGCCAGCAGCCGCGGUAAUACGGAGGGUGCAAGCGUUACUCGGAAUCACUGGGCGUAAAGGACGCGUAGGCGGGUUGGAAAGUCAGGUGUGAAAUCCUACAGCUUAACUGUAGAACUGCACUUGAAACUUCUAAUCUAGAGUAUGGGAGGGGAGAUGGAAUUAGUGGUGUAGGGGUAAAAUCCGUAGAUAUCACUAGGAAUACCUAAAGCGAAGGCGAUCUCCUGGAACAUUACUGACGCUAAGGCGUGAAAGCGUGGGGAGCAAACAGGAUUAGAUACCCUUGUAGUA